rnacentral:rRNA from 1 species
GAUCAUAGCUCAGGAUGAACGCUAGCGACAGGCUUAACACAUGCAAGUCGAGGGGCAGCGAGAAGUGGCAACACUUCUGUCGGCGACCGGCGCACGGGUGAGUAACGCGUAUGCAACCUGCCCUUCACAGGGGGAUAACCGGGAGAAAUUCCGACUAAUACCGCAUACGUCCUCCGGGGCAUCCUUGGGGAUGAAAGAAUUAUCGUGAAGGAUGGGCAUGCGUGAUAUUAGGUAGUUGCGGGG